GAGGGUAUAGCUCAAGGGUAGAGCAUGUGCUUAGCAUGCACGAGGUCCUGGGAUCAAUCCCCAGUACCUGCA
rnacentral:tRNA from 1 species